UUCCAAGGUAAGCCCCUCUACAAGGGGCCAACUAGUGACCCCAACACCCAGAAACAUAGCAACCGGAUGAAAUCUGGCAUACCCAAUGUUUGUGGGGGUAAGGUGAUAUUUCCUUUUGACCUCUGACUGCCUACAUAU